rnacentral:rRNA from 1 species
CCUUUUUAAGUACCUUUCGUUUCCUCGGCAGGCUCGCCUGCCGAUGGACCCCCCAAAAAACACUUUGCAGUACCUGUAAUAGUCUGAACAACAAACAAAAAAUUAAAACUUUCAACAACGGAUCUCUUGGUUCUGGCAUCGAUGAAGAACGCAGCGAAAUGCGAUAAGUAGUGUGAAUUGCAGAAUUCAGUGAAUCAUCGAAUCUUUGAACGCACAUUGCGCCCUUUGGUAUUCCUUAGGGCAUGCCUGUUCGAGCGUCAUUUAAACCUUCAAGCUCAGCUUGGUGUUGGGUGACUGUCCGCUGCCCUCGGGUGCGGACUCGCCUCAAAAUCAUUGGCGGCCGGUACAUUGGCUUCGAGCGCAGCAGAAACGCGAACUCGAGCCCGUCGUAUUGGCUCCCAGAAGCUAUCUUCAUAAUUUUGACCUCGGAUCAGGUAGG